UACGUAGGGUGCAAGCGUUAAUCGGAAUUACUGGGCGUAAAGCGUGCGCAGGCGGUUGUGUAAGACAGAUGUGAAAUCCCCGGGCUCAACCUGGGAACUGCAUUUGUGACUGCACAGCUGGAGUGCGGCAGAGGGGGAUGGAAUUCCGCGUGUAGCAGUGAAAUGCGUAGAUAUGCGGAGGAACACCGAUGGCGAAGGCAAUCCCCUGGGCCUGCACUGACGCUCAUGCGCGAAAGCGUGGGGAGCAAACAGG
rnacentral:rRNA from 1 species